rnacentral:rRNA from 1 species
AGAGUUUGAUCAUGGCUCAGGACGAACGCUGGCGGCGUGCCUAAUACAUGCAAGUCGAGCGGAGUUUAUCGGGAGCUUGCUCCUGAUAAACUUAGCGGCGGACGGGUGAGUAACACGUAGGCAACCUGCCCGUAAGACUGGGAUAACUACCGGAAACGGUAGCUAAUACCGGAUACGCAAGUCUCUCGCAUGAGGGGCUUGGGAAAGGCGGAGCAAUCUGUCACUUACGGAUGGGCCUGCGGCGCAUUAGCUAGUUGGUGGGGUAAUGGCUCACCAAGGCGACGAUGCGUAGCCGACCUGAGAGGGUGAACGGCCACACUGGGACUGAGACACGGCCCAGACUCCUACGGGAGGCAGCAGUAGGGAAUCUUCCGCAAUGGACGAAAGUCUGACGGAGCAACGCCGCGUGAGUGAUGAAGGUUUUCGGAUCGUAAAGCUCUGUUGCCAGGGAAGAACGUCCGUUAGAGUAACUGCUAACGGAGUGACGGUACCUGAGAAGAAAGCCCCGGCUAACUACGUGCCAGCAGCCGCGGUAAUACGUAGGGGGCGAGCGUUGUCCGGAAUUAUUGGGCGUAAAGCGCGCGCAGGCGGCUGUUUAAGUCUGGUGUUUAAUCCUGGGGCUCAACCCCGGGUCGCACUGGAAACUGGACAGCUUGAGUGCA